UUCCGGUUGAUCCUGCCGGAGGUCACUGCUAUUGGGAUUCGACUAAGCCAUGCGAGUCGAGAGGGUUCGGCCCUCGGCAGACGGCUCAGUAACACGUGGAUAAUCUGCCCUUAGGCGGAGGAUAACCUCGGGAAACUGAGAAUAAUACUCCAUAGAUCUAGGAUGCUGGAAUGCACUUAGAUUGAAAGUUCCGGCGCCUAAGGAUGAGUCUGCGGACUAUCAGGUAGUAGUCAGGGUAAAGGCCUGACUAGCCUACGACGGAUACGGGUUGUGAGAGCAAUAACCCGGAGACGAUAUCUGAGACACGAUAUCGGGCCCUACGGGGCGCAGCAGGCGCGAAACCUUCACAAUGUGCGAAAGCACGAUGAGGGGAUCCCAAGUGCUUGCUCGUAAGAGUAAGCUGUUUUUAUGUCUAAAACGCAUAGAGAGUAAGGGCUGGGUAAGACGGGUGCCAGCCGCCGCGGUAAUACCUGCAGCUCAAGUGGUGACCGCUAUUAUUGGGCCUAAAACGUUCGUAGCCGGUUUGGUAAAUGCCUGGGUAAAUCGUGUAGCUUAACUAUACGAAUUCCGGGUAGACUGCCAAACUUGAGACCGGGAGAAGCUAGAGGUACUCCUUGGGUAGAGGUGAAAUUCUGUAAUCCUAGGGGGACCACCAGUGGCGAAGGCGUCUAGCUAGAACGGGUUUGACGGUGAGGAACGAAGCCCUGGGGCGCGAACCGGAUUAGAUACCCGGGUAGUCCAGGGUGUAAACGCUGCUUGCUUGAUGUUAGUUGGGCUCCGAGCCCAAUUAGUGUCGGAGAGAAGUUGUUAAGCAAGCUGCCUGGGAAGUACGAUCGCAAGAUUGAAACUUAAAGGAAUUGGCGGGGGAGCACAGCAACGGGUGGAGCGUGCGGUUUAAUUGGAUUCAACGCCGGG
rnacentral:rRNA from 1 species